AAUUCUCAACCAUCCCUUUGAUUGAUUUCGAAGGGGUGGCUUGGAUUUUGGGAGUUGCCGGACGACCCUCUGGGACGGUCGGCUCUCCUUAAAAGCAUUAGCGAAAGGUGGCAAGCCCCUGCAUGCACGGCCUUCGACGUGAUAAUGAUCGUCGUGGCUGGAGUGCGAGAGAGGCAUACGUCUACCUUUGCUUCUAAACAUCGUACUGGGGACUUUGCUUCGGCGAACGAACCUUUACUUUCUGACG
rnacentral:misc_RNA from 2 species